rnacentral:rRNA from 1 species
UACAGAGGGGGCAAGCGUUAUUCGGAAUUAUUGGGCGUAAAGAGCGCGUAGGCGGCUUUGCAAGUGGCGGGUGAAAUCCCUCGGCUUAACCGAGGAACUGCCUGUCAGACUGGAAGGCUUGAGACCGGGAGAGGUGAGUGGAAUUCCCAGUGUAGCGGUGAAAUGCGUAGAUAUUGGGAGGAACACCAGUGGCGAAGGCGGCUCACUGGACCGGAACUGACGCUGAGGCGCGAAAGCGUGGGGAGCAAACAGG